rnacentral:rRNA from 1 species
UGGGGAAUAUUGGACAAUGGAGGAAACUCUGAUCCAGCAAUUCUGUGUGUGUGAAGAAGGUUUUAGGACUGUAAAACACUUUUAGUAGGGAAGAAAAAAAUGACGGUACCUACAGAAGAAGCAACGGCUAAAUACGUGCCAGCAGCCGCGGUAAUACGUAUGUUGCGAGCGUUAUCCGGAAUUAUUGGGCUUAAAGGGCAUCUAGGCGGUAAGACAAGUUGAAGGUGAAAACCUGUGGCUCAACCAUAGGCUUGCCUACAAAACUGUUGAACUAGAGUACUGGAAAGGUGGUUGGAACUACACGAGUAGAGGUGAAAUUCGUAGAUAUGUGUAGGAAUGCCGAUGAUGAAGAUAACUCACUGGACAGAAACUGACGCUGAAGUGCGAAAGCUAGGGGAGCAAACAGG